rnacentral:rRNA from 1 species
GAGUUUGAUCCUGGCUCAGGAUGAACGCUAGCGGCAGGCUUAACACAUGCAAGUCGAGGGGUAACAGGAAAAAGCUUGCUUUUUUGCUGACGACCGGCGCACGGGUGCGUAACGCGUAUAGAACCUACCUUUUACAGGGGAAUAGCCCAGAGAAAUUUGGAUUAAUGCCCCAUAGUAUUAUUGAUUGGCAUCAAUUAAUAAUUAAACAUUUAUGGGUAAAAGAUGGCUAUGCGUUCUAUUAGCUAGUAGGUAAGGUAACGGCUUACCUAGGCGACGAUAGAUAGGGGUCCUGAGAGGGAGAUCCCCCACACUGGUACUGAGACACGGACCAGACUCCUACGGGAGGCAGCAGUGAGGAAUAUUGGACAAUGGAGGCAACUCUGAUCCAGCCAUGCCGCGUGCAGGAAGACGGCCCUAUGGGUUGUAAACUGCUUUUAUACAGGAAGAAACCUUUCCACGUGUGGGAAGCUGACGGUACUGUAAGAAUAAGCACCGGCUAACUCCGUGCCAGCAGCCGCGGUAAUACGGAGGGUGCAAGCGUUAUCCGGAAUCAUUGGGUUUAAAGGGUCCGUAGGCGGACUAAUAAGUCAGGGGUGAAAUACCACAGCUCAACUGUGGAACUGCCUUUGAUACUGUUAGUCUUGAGUUAUGUGGAAGUAGAUAGAAUGUGUAGUGUAGCGGUGAAAUGCUUAGAGAUUACACAGAAUACCGAUUGCGAAGGCAGUCUACUACGUAUAUACUGACGCUAAUGGACGAAAGCGUGGGGAGCGAACAGGAUUAGAUACCCUGGUAGUCCACGCCGUAAACGAUGGACACUAGUUGUUGGGAUUUAUCUCAGUGACUAAGCGAAAGUGAUAAGUGUCCACCUGGGGAGU